CCAAGGAGUCUAACAUGUGCGCGAGUCACUCGGUCUUGCUUAGGCCAGAGAGGCGCAAUGAAAGUAAUGUUUGUUAAGUUACGAUCCUUGUGCAGUUAUCACUCGUUGGUAACGGCAAGGCGCAGUAACAGCCCGCUAAUUUCGCUUAUUGACGAUCUGGCGGAGUUGUAGCGUACACGUUGGUACCCGAAAGAUGGUGAACUAUGCCUGGGCAAGACGAAGCCAGAGGAAACUCUGGUGGAGGUCUGUAGCGAUUCUGACGUGCAAAUCGAUCGUCAGACCUGGGUAUAGGGGCGAAAGACUAAUCGAACCAUC
rnacentral:rRNA from 1 species